GGGGGUAUAGCUCCGCGCUACAGCAUGUGCUUAGCAUGCACGAGGUCCUGGGUUCAAUCCCCAGUCCCUCCA
rnacentral:tRNA from 1 species